rnacentral:rRNA from 1 species
AUUGAACGCUGGCGGCAGGCUUAACACAUGCAAGUCGAGCGGAGUGAUGGUGCUUGCACUAUCACUUAGCGGCGGACGGGUGAGUAAUGCUUAGGAAUCUGCCUAUUAGUGGGGGACAACAUCUCAAAAGGGAUGCUAAUACCGCAUACGUCCUACGGGAGAAAGCAGGGGAUCACUUGUGACCUUGCGCUAAUAGAUGAGCCUAAGUCGGAUUAGCUAGGUGGUGGGGUAAAGGCCUACCAAGGGGACGAUCUGUAGCGGGUCUGAGAGGGUGAUCGGCCCAACUGGGACGGAGACACGGCCCAGACUCCUACGGGAGGCAGCAGGGGGGAAUAUUGGACAAUGGGGGGAAGCCGGAUCCAGCCAUGCGGCGUGUAUGAAGAAGGCCUUAUGGUUGUAAAGCACUUUAAGCGAGGAGGAGGCUCUUUUGGUUAAUACCCAAGAUGAGUGGACGUUACUCGCAGAAUAAGCACCGGCUAACUCUGUGCCAGCCGCCGCAGUAA